rnacentral:rRNA from 1 species
UACGGAGGGGGCUAGCGUUGUUCGGAAUUAUUGGGCGUAAAGGGCGCGUAGGCGGCCGGACAAGUCGGGUGUGAAAUCCCUCGGCUCAACCGAGGAACUGCAUUCGAUACUGUCUGGCUCGAGUCCGGGAGGGGAUGGUGGAAUUCCCAGUGUAGCGGUGAAAUGCGUAGAUAUUGGGAAGAACACCGGUGGCGAAGGCGACCAUCUGGACCGGAACUGACGCUGAGGCGCGAAAGCCAGGGGAGCGAAUGGG